rnacentral:rRNA from 1 species
UACGGAGGGUGCAAGCGUUAUCCGGAUUCACUGGGUUUAAAGGGUGCGUAGGUGGGCAGGUAAGUCAGUGGUGAAAUCUCCGGGCUUAACCCGGAAACUGCCAUUGAUACUAUCUGUCUUGAAUACCGUGGAGGUGAGCGGAAUAUGUCAUGUAGCGGUGAAAUGCGUAGAUAUCUGGAGGAACACCGGUGGCGAAGGCGGCAUCCUGGACCGGCAUUGACGCUGAGGCGCGAAAGCCAGGGGAGCAAACGGG